rnacentral:rRNA from 1 species
GACGAACGCUGGCGGCGUGCUUAACACAUGCAAGUCGAACGGAAAGGCCCUGCUUUUGUGGGGUGCUCGAGUGGCGAACGGGGGAGUAACACGUGAGUAACCUGCCCUUGACUUUGGGAUAACUUCAGGAAACUGGGGCUAAUACCGGAUAGGAGCUCCUGCUGCAUGGUGGGGGUUGGAAAGUUUCGGCGGUUGGGGAUGGAGGCGCGGCUUAUCAGCUUGUUGGUGGGGUAGUGGCUUACCAAGGCUUUGACGGGUAGCCGGCCUGGGUGGGUGGCCGGCGACAUUGUGACUGAGGUACGGCCCAGACUCCUACGGGGGGCAGCAGUGGGGAAUAUUGCACAGUGGGCGGGAGCCUGAUGCGGCGACGCCGCGUUCGGGAUGACCGCCUUCGGGUUGUAAACCGCUUUCGCCUGAGACGAAGCGUGAGUGACGGUAACGGGUAAAGAAGCACCGGCUAACUACGUG